rnacentral:rRNA from 2 species
GUGGAUUAGUGGCGAACGGGUGAGUAACACGUGGGCAAUCUGCCCUGCACUCUGGGACAAGCCCUGGAAACGGGGUCUAAUACCGGAUGAUACCUACUGGGGCAUCUUAGUGGGUUGAAAGCUCCGGCGGUGCAGGAUGAGCCCGCGGCCUAUCAGCUUGUUGGUGGGGUGAUGGCCUACCAAGGCGACGACGGGUAGCCGGCCUGAGAGGGCGACCGGCCACACUGGGACUGAGACACGGCCCAGANUNAUACGGGAGGCAGCAGUGGGGAAUAUUGCACAAUGGGCGGAAGCCUGAUGCAGCGACGCCGCGUGAGGGAUGACGGCCUUCGGGUUGUAAACCUCUUUCAGCAGGGAAGAAGCGUGAGUGACGGUACCUGCAGAAGAAGCACCGGCUAACUACGUGCCAGCAGCCGCGGUAAUACGUAGGGUGCGAGCGUUGUCCGGAAUUAUUGGGCGUAAAGAGCUCGUAGGCGGCUUGUCGCGUCGGAUGUGAAAGCCCGGGGCUUAACUCCGGGUCUGCAUUCGAUACGGGCAGGCUAGAGUGUGGUAGGGGAGAUCGGAAUUCCUGGUGUAGCGGUGAAAUGCGCAGAUAUCAGGAGGAACACCGGUGGCGAAGGCGGAUCUCUGGGCCAUUACUGACGCUGAGGAGCGAAAGCGUGGGGAGCG